rnacentral:rRNA from 1 species
UAGGGAAUCUUCCGCAAUGGACGAAAGUCUGACGGAGCAACGCCGCGUGAGCGAAGAAGGUCUUCGGAUCGUAAAGCUCUGUUGUCAGGGAAGAACAAGUACCGUUCGAACAGGGCGGUACCUUGACGGUACCUGACGAGGAAGCCACGGCUAACUACGUGCCAGCAGCCGCGGUAAUACGUAGGUGGCAAGCGUUGUCCGGAAUUAUUGGGCGUAAAGCGCGCGCAGGCGGUUCCUUAAGUCUGAUGUGAAAUCUCGCGGCUCAACCGCGAGCGGCCAUUGGAAACUGGGGAACUUGAGUGCAGGAGAGGGGAGCGGAAUUCCACGUGUAGCGGUGAAAUGCGUAGAGGUGUGGAGGAACACCAGUGGCGAAGGCGGCUCUCUGGCCUGUAACUGACGCUGAGGCGCGAAAGCGUGGGGAGCGAACAGG